rnacentral:rRNA from 1 species
CGCGUAGGUAAUCUAUCCUUACAUUUGGGAUAACAUCGGGAAACUGGUGCUAUACCGAAUGGUCUUCAUUGCUUUGGGGCGAUGGAGUAAAGGUGGCCUCUUCAUGAAAGCUACCGUGUAGGGAUGAGCCUGCGUACCAUUAGCUAGUAGGUGGGGUAAUGGCCCACCUAGGCUACGAUGGUUAGCGGGUCUGAGAGGAUGAUCCGCCACACUGGAACUGAAACACGGACCAG